GAGUUUGAUCAUGGCUCAGGACGAACGCUGGCGGCGUGCCUAACACAUGCAAGUUGAGCGGAGAUAUGGAGAGCUUGCUCUUUAUAUUUUAGCAGCGAACGGGUGAGUAACACGUGGGCAACCUGCCCUGGAGCGGGGGAUAACAUCUGGAAACAGGUGCUAAUACCGCAUAACAACGAAAACCACAUGGUUUUCGUUUCAAAGAUGGUUUCGGCUAUCACUUCAGGAUGGGCCCGCGGUGCAUUAGCUAGUUGGUAGGGUAACGGCUUACCAAGGCAAUGAUGCAUAGCCGAGUUGAGAGACUGAUCGGCCACAAUGGAACUGAGACACGGUCCAUACUCCUACGGGAGGCAGCAGUAGGGAAUCUUCCACAAUGGGCGCAAGCCUGAUGGAGCAACACCGCGUGAGUGAAGAAGGGUUUCGGCUCGUAAAGCUCUGUUGUUGGAG
rnacentral:rRNA from 1 species